AGAGUUUGAUCCUGGCUCAGAACGAACGCUGGCGGCAGGCCUAACACAUGCAAGUCGAGCGCGCCUUCGGGUGAGCGGCGGACGGGUUAGUAACGCGUGGGAACGUGCCCUUCUCUACGGAAUAGCCUCUGGAAACGGAGAGUAAUACCGUAUACGCCCUUUGGGGGAAAGAUUUAUCGGAGAAGGAUCGGCCCGCGUUAGAUUAGGUAGUUGGUGGGGUAACGGCCUACCAAGCCUACGAUCUAUAGCUGGUUUUAGAGGAUGAUCAGCAACACUGGGACUGAGACACGGCCCAGACUCCUACGGGAGGCAGCAGUGGGGAAUCUUAGACAAUGGGGGCAACCCUGAUCUAGCCAUGCCGCGUGAGUGAUGAAGGCCUUAGGGUCGUAAAGCUCUUUCGCCUGUGAUGAUAAUGACAGUAGCAGGUAAAGAAACCCCGGCUAACUCCGUGCCAGCAGCCGCGGUAAUACGGAGGGGGUUAGCGUUGUUCGGAAUUACUGGGCGUAAAGCGCGCGUAGGCGGAUUAGAAAGUUGGGGGUGAAAUCCCGGGGCUCAACCCCGGAACUGCCUCCAAAACUGCUAGUCUAGAGUUCGAGAGAGGUGAGUGGAAUUCCGAGUGUAGAGGUGAAAUUCGUAGAUAUUCGGAGGAACACCCGUGGCGAAGGCGGCUCACUGGUUCGAUACUGACGCUGAGGUGCGAAAGUGUGGGGAGCAAACAGGAUUAGAUACCCUGGUAGUCCACACCGUAAACGAUGAAUGCCAGUCGUCGGGUAGUAUACUAUUCGGUGACACACCUAACGGAUUAAGCAUUCCGCCUGGGGAGUACGGUCGCAAGAUUAAAACUCAAAGGAAUUGACGG
rnacentral:rRNA from 1 species